AUUCCUACGGGAGGCAGCAGGGGGGAAUAUUGCACAAUGGGCGCAAGCCUGAUGCAGCCAUGCCGCGUGUGUGAAGAAGGCCUUCGGGUUGUAAAGCACUUUCAGCGGGGAGGAAGGGCCACUAGUUAAUACCUAGUGGCAUUGACGUUACUCGCAGAAGAAGCACCGGCUAACUCCGUGCCAGCAGCCGCGGUAAUAAU
rnacentral:rRNA from 1 species